GACGAACGCUGGCGGCGUGCUUAACACAUGCAAGUCGAACGGAAAGGCCCUGCUUGCAGGGUACUCGAGUGGCGAACGGGUGAGUAACACGUGGGUGAUCUGCCCUGCACUUCGGGAUAAGCCUGGGAAACUGGGUCUAAUACCGGAUAGGAGCCAUUUUUAGUGUGAUGGUUGGAAAGUUUUUUCGGUGUAGGAUGAGCUCGCGGCCUAUCAGCUUGUUGGUGGGGUAAUGGCCUACCAAGGCGGCGACGGGUAGCCGGCCUGAGAGGGUGGACGGCCACAUUGGGACUGAGAUACGGCCCAGACUCCUACGGGAGGCAGCAGUGGGGAAUAUUGCACAAUGGGCGCAAGCCUGAUGCAGCGACGCCGCGUGGGGGAUGACGGCCUUCGGGUUGAAAACUACUUUCGCUAGGGACGAAGCUUUUUGUGACGGUACCUAGAUAAGAAGCACCGGCUAACUACGUG
rnacentral:rRNA from 1 species